rnacentral:rRNA from 1 species
GCUGGCGGCAGGCCUAACACAUGCAAGUCGAGCGGUAGAGAGAAGCUUGCUUCUCUUGAGAGCGGCGGACGGGUGAGUAAUGCCUAGGAAUCUGCCUGGUAGUGGGGGAUAACGUUCGGAAACGGACGCUAAUACCGCAUACGUCCUACGGGAGAAAGCAGGGGACCUUCGGGCCUUGCGCUAUCAGAUGAGCCUAGGUCGGAUUAGCUAGUUGGUGAGGUAAUGGCUCACCAAGGCGACGAUCCGUAACUGGUCUGAGAGGAUGAUCAGUCACACUGGAACUGAGACACGGUCCAGACUCCUACGGGAGGCAGCAGUGGGGAAUAUUGGACAAUGGGCGAAAGCCUGAUCCAGCCAUGCCGCGUGUGUGAAGAAGGUCUUCGGAUUGUAAAGCACUUUAAGUUGGGAGGAAGGGUUGUAGAUUAAUACUCUGCAAUUUUGACGUUACCGACAGAAUAAGCACCGGCUAACUCUGUGCCAGCAGCCGCGGUAAUACAGAGGGUGCAAGCGUUAAUCGGAAUUACUGGGCGUAAAGCGCGCGUAGGUGGUUUGUUAAGUUGGAUGUGAAAUCCCCGGGCUCAACCUGGGAACUGCAUUCAAAACUGACUGACUAGAGUAUGGUAGAGGGUGGUGGAAUUUCCUGUGUAGCGGUGAAAUGCGUAGAUAUAGGAAGGAACACCAGUGGCGAAGGCGACCACCUGGACUAAUACUGACACUGAGGUGCGAAAGCGUGGGGAGCAAACA